CUCAUAGCGUAUAUUUAAGUUGUUGCAGUUAAAAAGCUCGUAGUCGGAUUUUGGCUGAGAACGGUCGGUCCGCCGUUAGGUGUGCACUGACUGGUCUCAGCUUCCUGGUGAGGAGGUGUGCUUCAUCGCCACUUAGUCACCGUGGUUACUUUGAAAAAAUUAGAGUGUUCAAAGCGGGCUUACGCUUGAAUAUAUUAGCAUGGAAUAACACCAUAGGACUCCUGUCCUAUUUCGUUGGUCUCGGGACGGGAGUAAUGAUUAAGAGGAACAGUUGGGGGCAUUCGUAUUUCAUUGUCAGAGGUGAAAUUCUUGGAUUUAUGAAAGACGAACUUCUGCGAAAGCAUUUGCCAAGGAUGUUUUCAUUGAUCAAGAACGAAAGUUGGGGGCUCGAAGAUGAUUAGAUACCAUCCUAGUCUCAACCAUAAACGAUGCCGACUAGGGAUUGGCGGAUGUUAAUUGAUGACUUCGCCAGCACCUUAUGAGAAAUCAAAGUUUUUGGGUUCCGGGGGGAGUAUGGUCGCAAGGCUGAUACUUAAAGGA
rnacentral:rRNA from 1 species